rnacentral:rRNA from 1 species
AUUGAACGCUGGCGGCGUGCCUAACACAUGCAAGUCGAGCGGUAACAGGUGUAGCAAUACAUGCUGACGAGCGGCGAACGGGUGAGUAAUGCUUCGGAAUCUACCUUAUGGUGGGGAAUAACUAGCCGAAAGGUUAGCUAAUACCGCAUACGUCCUACGGGAGAAAGCAGGGGAUCGCAAGACCUUGCGCCAAAAGAUGAGCCGAAGUCGGAUUAGCUAGUUGGUAGGGUAACGGCCUACCAAGGCGACGAUCCGUAGCUGGUCUGAGAGGACGACCAGCCACACUGGGACUGAGACACGGCCCAGACUCCGACGGGGGGAAGCAGUGGGGAAUAUUGGACAAUGGGGGAAACCCUGAUCCAGCGACGCCGCGUGUGUGAAGAAGGCCUGCAGGUUGUAAAGCACUUUUAGUGGGGAUGAAAUGUGCAGGGUUAAUACCUCUGCAUUUUGACCUAACCCACAGAAAAAGCACCGGCUAACUCUGCGCCAGCCGCCGCAGUAA